rnacentral:rRNA from 1 species
GAUGAACGCUGGCGGCGUGCUUAACACAUGCAAGUCGAACGAACCUUCGGGUUAGUGGCGGACGGGUGAGUAACGCGUGAGGAUCUGCCCUCAGGAGGGGGAUAACAGCUGGAAACGGCUGCUAAUACCCCAUAUGCCGCGAGGUGAAAUGAAUUUCGCCUGAGGAUGAGCUCGCGUCUGAUUAGCUAGUUGGUGUAGGUAAUGGCUCACCAAGGCAUCGAUCAGUAGCUGGUCUGAGAGGAUGAUCAGCCUCACUGGGACUGAGACACGGCCCAGACUCCUACGGGAGGCAGCAGUGGGGAAUUUUCCGCAAUGGGCGAAAGCCUGACGGAGCAACGCCGCGUGAGGGAUGAAGGCCUCUGGGCUGUAAACCUCUUUCAUCAAGGAAGAAGAUCUGACGGUACUUGAUGAAUAAGCCACGGCUAAUUCCGUGCC